rnacentral:rRNA from 1 species
CCUACGGGUGACAGCAGUGAGGAAUAUUGGUCAAUGGACGAGAGUCUGAACCAGCCAAGUAGCGUGAAGGAUGACUGCCCUCUGGGUUGUAAACUUCUUUUAUAAAGGAAUAAAACGAGGCAAGUGUGCCUUUUUGCACGGACUUUAUGAAUAAGGAUCGGCUAACUCCGGGCUAUCAGCCGCGGUAAUACGGAGGAUCCGAGCGUUAUCCGGAUUUAUUGGGUUUAAAGGGAGCGUAGAUGGGUUGUUAAGUCAGUUGUGAAAGUUUGCGGCUCAACCGUAAAAUUGCAAUUGAUACUGGCAAUCGUGAGUACAGUUGAGGUAGGCGGAAUUCGUGGUGUAGCGGUGAAAUGCUUAGAUAUCACGAAGAACCCCGAAUGCGAAGGCAGCUUACUAAGCUGUGACUGACAUUGAUGCUCGAAAGUGUGGGUAUCAAACAGGAUUAGAUACCCUAGUAGUC